UGGUGACAUCACCUGGGGGGUCAUUCCUUGGAUUUGGGGUGAUCUGGAGGAGCAGAGACCUUGUUGGGAUUGGUGACAUCACCUGGGGGGACAUUCCUUGAAUUUGGGAUGGUCUGGAGGAGCAGAGACCUUGUUGGGAUUGGUGACAUCACCUGGGGGGUCAUUCCUUGGAUUUGGGGUGGGAAACCUUGGCCAGGAAGGACAUUCCUUGGAUUUGGGAUGAUCUGGAGGAGCAGAGACCUUGUUGGGGUUGGUGACAUCACCUGGGGGGUCAUUCCUUGGAUUUGGGGUGAUCUGGAGGAGAAGAAGGAGCAGAGACCUCAAAGGGGGUUGGAAACCUCACCUGGGGGGUCAUUCCUUGGAUUUGGGAUGAUCUGGAGGAGAAGAAGGAGCAGAGACCUUGGAGGGGGUUGGAAACCUCAUCUGGGGGGUCAUUCCUUGGAUUUGGGGUGGGAAAGCUCAGCCAGGAGGGACAUUCCUUGGAUUUGGGAUGGUCUGGAGGAGGAGAGACCUUUUUGGGGUUGGUGACAUCACCUGGGGGGUCAUUCCUUGGAUUUGGGAUGUUCUGGAGGAGGAGCAGAGACCUUGUUGGGAUUGGUGACAUCACCUGGGGGGUCAUUCCUUGGAUUUGGGAUGGUCUGGAGGAGCAGAGACCUUGUUGGGGUUGGUGACAUCACCUGGGGGGUCAUUCCUUGGAUUUGGGAUGGUCUGGAGGAGCAGAGACCUUGUUGGGGUUGGUGACAUCACCUGGGGGGGUCAUUCCUUGGAUUUGGGAUGGUCUGGAGGAGGAGAGACCUUGGAGGGAUUGGUGACAUCACCUGGGGGGUCAUUCCUUGGAUUUGGGGUGGGAAACCUUGGCCAGGAAGGACAUUCCUUGGAUUUUGGGUGGUCUGGAGGAGCAGAGACCUUGUUGGGGUUGGUGACAUCACCUGGGGGGUCAUUCCUUGGAUUUGGGGUGGUCU